rnacentral:rRNA from 1 species
ACUUUAUAAAGAGACACCAACAGCRACUUAACGCGCCAGCAACAUUACGUGUGGUGAAAUACCCCAAUAAAUACCACUGUCUGUGCGUAUAAGCAAGCGARACAUUACUGUUAAACAGGGAUUAGAGACCCCUUUAUACAAAUGCUCACAUUAGCUUGCGGAGGACUACAACUAUCUGAGUUAAAACUUAAGCAACAUGGCGGUAAUUUAAAUUUAGGGGRACUUACUGAGUCAUUGAUAACCACCAAGGUUAACCAACUAUACAAAAAUCUUGUAUGCCGUCGUCGUCAGGUAGCACUUGAAGUUCUACCUUAAUAGUAUCCCUCAAAAGACAGAUCAAGGUGCAGACAAUUGUAUAGGUCUAGCGAGUUACAGUUUUGAUUACUAACAAAUAGUAAAUGUAAAAACACACUGAAGGCGGACUUAACAGUAAUAGAUACUACUAAUACUCUAUGAAGCU